CUGGCCUCCAUGUUUGUGGACAGCAGGUUAACAGCGGUUAAAGGUCAGAGAGGUCGGACUAAAGCACAAAAAUCUAUAAACCUGUGUCAUACAGUGAAAUGAAAACAAAACACAUCGACUGGCGAGGAGUCCGUCUUCGCAUCAUAACGAGUCUCAUAUCGAGGCUGACGGAGAUAAACACGCUUUCAGACGUGAUGGAGACUCAGGCGGUGACGAGGAUGCGGAGAGCUGAAUGAAAUCAGCCCAGAUCGAACUUCCUGCUGCCGAUGGUAUCUGCUGUGUGAGCUGCUGGUUUUAUUACAGGGAACAGCGGGCGCGAGGGAAAGGUCGCCCUGCAGAUAUUGUUUUCUCGUUCCCGGCGGCCUGCGGGUCACAAAUAUCGACUGGGCCGCUUCCUGUUAUACGAAUGAAACCGUAUUCGGGAGAGAGGACGCGAGCAGGCGGGCAGAGGGAGCUGAACACAAAUGAACUUUAAUGUUACAGUUUGGCUACAAGAACACGUAACAUACGCGAACUGUCUGCAGAGUUUAUGUCCUGUUACAGCUGCGGCACAUUCAGCACGAAGCUCUGAGGCAGCUGCUGUUAACAAAGGAGGGAAGAAAGUAAAAGAAAAGAAAGAAAGGAGGAAGUAAAGGAACCUAAGAAAGGAAAUGAAGAAAAGAUGGAAGGAAGGAGGCAAAGAAUGGAGAAAGAACAAAAAAGAAAGAAGAGAAAAGGUAAAAAGAAAAAGCAGCAAACGAAGGAAUAUGAGGAAUGAAAAGGAAAAGGCGGGAUGGAGGAGAGGAAGGAAGGAAGGAAGGAUGAAUUCCUCAACCACUCGUCAAAUAUCUGCUUUCAGGGAUUAGAUUGGAGGUGUGCAGUGCUGCAUACGCUCGCUGCUACACGAAGAUGCAGCGUUACAGGAGGAAGUGUGGUGCUGGUUGGGGCAAGAUAACCAUUUACAAACUCAUCAAGCAAGAACAAAUCCACACAGGCAGGAACACCAUCUCCUCCACCGCAACAGAAAGCUCAAAGCUAACUGCGAGUGAACCACGAUGCAGCACUGCAAACACUCAGCGGGCUGAGGUCACACAGACUGAGCGUAUGGGGUUAAAAGGGUCACCAAGACCACAACAACCUGGUGCUGAAUGCCCAGAAGACAGUGGAGAUUAUUGUGGACUUCAGGAAGCACACAGCCGCACUCCCCCCCAUCAUCCUGUCUGACACCCCCAUCACCUCUGUGGACUCAUUCUGCUUCCUGGGUACCACCAUCACCCAGGACCUGAAGUGGGAGCCCACCAUCACCUCCGUCAUCAAGAAAGCCCAGCAGAGGAUGUACUUCCUGAGGCAGCUGAAGAAAUUCAACCUGCCAACACGGACGAUGAUGCAGUUCUACACUGCAAUCAUCGAGUCCAUCCUCACCUCCUCCAUCACCGUGUGGUACGCUGGAGCCACUAUCAGGGACAAACAGAGACUGCAGCGUGUUGUGCGCUCUGCUGAGAAGGUGAUUGGCUGCAGACUCCCAUCUCUGCAGGACCUGUACACCUCCAGGACAUUGCGGCGUGCAGCUCAGUCACAGCUGACCCUUCUCAC
ensembl:lncRNA